rnacentral:misc_RNA from 1 species
AGAUGACGCUGCAUUAUUUAUAUUCAUACAUUAUUAAUUAUCAUUACAUUAUACAUUUACGUUAAGUUUGGUACAAGGAUUAAAAAUAUAAAUUUAGUUAGAUACUCAGCAUUUAAAACUUGGUAAGAAAAAAUUGCUUUUAAAGCAGUUUCAGUUCCAUACUUGGCUACAGCACCGUAUUUAAAUAUUCAAACAAAAGUACAUUGGUAGGUAUUGUUAAUAUAUUUUUUUAUUUAUUGUUUUAAUGUUAAGUUAUGUAAAGUUUUUUUGUAAGACUGAUAUUUUUUGUUCUUUUUCGUGUUGUGAAGAAAAAAUUGUAGUGAGUUAAGCUGACUAAAAACUAACAGUUGAUACAAUUCCAAAAAAUAAAGAGACAAUCACAUAAUAAUGGAAUUUAAACAUUGUUAUUUUGGUAAAUAUUAAUUUUAAAGCAUUGAAGAAGUUAUAUUUAUGUAUAUAAAAUUUUACGGCAUAAACUCUUUAAGAUAAUAUUCACUUCAUUCAACGAAGAAUACAAACUUUUAAUUAGUGAACUCCUUAAUAAUAAUUUUUUUUUAAUUCGACAUAUCGACAAAAAAUUGGCCUAGAUAGAGAAAUUCUGCUACUGCAUUAAAUUAAGAAUGUAAUGUUUAAAUUAGUUGACACCCAAAGGGGUUGUUGUUUUUUACUUUGACGUAUCCACAAAAAUACUAUCAGAUAAGGUCAGCUAUUCCAAAAGUACCUAAAAUUCUAAAUUAUUUUUUAUUUUAAUAUAGAAUUGGUGAUAGUAUUCGAAGAUAGCUGUAGUGUACGGGUUGUGUGAACACAAAUGUGUUAUAUCAGACGUAAAAGACGGACCAUUAGGUAAUAGGGACAUUAACCUCAGAUCAGUAAAUAUACAUCGGGCUAUUAGAAUUAAGAACGAGUGUCCUAUAAGGUAAAUAAAUCAAGAUAUAAAGGAAAAUACGAUAACUUGAUGUCAGCUUAAUGACAUUUUUGUGCAAAUGGUAAAUCAUUGAUUUGUCAUGUAAGAUCAACUAUAGCCUAUAUCUACUUUCGUUAAAAAUGAUCUGUCGAUAUCGAAAAUUGGCAUUUCUUUGUUUAAAGCCACACUUUUCUUUAAAAUAACGGUAAAAUAUCUACAUACUGACAGCUAAACUUUUUGGAAAAAAAUAGUAAGUGGCGAUAAACAAAUUAUAUUAAAAUUCCAUAAGUAUAAAUAGUUUUUCUUACCUUGAAGCGUGGCGCUGUGAGCGUGUAGCAUAAUAUUUUUAUGAUAGCAAUUGUGGCGAAAAAAUUAUUAAAGCAAGCGAUCUCAAGUUUAAUUAUCGCUUGAAUCAAAUAUUCUUAAAUUGUUGUAGCAGCAAUUUUUCGAGCGACGCAAGUUCUUGUUUCGAUGUUCAGUUGUAGGUACAUAGAGUCAUAAAUAAAACUCGAUAAUUUAAUGAUGAGAUUUAGUGUUAUUUUAAACUAAAUGUGCUCUCGAUUUCGUCCGCGUGGAAUUACAGUGACUUAACAUGUUCAACGCAUUUCUUUAAAUUGGCAUAACUUUUUUAUUUAUGAACCAAUUGACAUGAAACAAACAAUAAAUGUUAAGCUAAGCUUGCCACAAUAUAUUAGUAAAAAACACAUCUAAAUCGAAUAAGCCGUUUCUGAGAUUAGCGUGCACAAACAUAUAGACAAACAGAAAAAAAUUCUGACUAUCAUUGUUUUGAUUGGACUAAUAUUUUUUUCUCAUAUAUCUUGAAUGUACAGACAGCGACCCGUUACAUUUUAAUUAUAUAUAUAUUGAUUUAAAAUAACAAGAAAUUGACAAAUUAAAGCCGCACAUAAUACAGCUACUGUAUAUAUACAAACUUACGCACACAGCACCGCACGGUAAGGUUAUUUGAAACGUCUACACCAGUAAAGCAUUAUAGUCUUAUUUUUAUAAAUGUCGGUUAGGGCACUUUCUCCUGGUCUCGUAUGCAGGUGAUUAUUUCUGAUUUGAUAUUAAAAAAAAUGUUCACCUCUUCCACUUAAUGCAUUUUUUAUUAAUAGUCUUAGGCGAGUACUUGUUAAUUUUAGCACUCAUGGAAUUGAAUUGUCGAUGCUUCCAAUUUAGACACUAUUAAAAUUAGUAUGUAUAUAUUAUAAGAUGGUUCCUGCUUAUCUUGUAAACUUUUUUAAUAUAACCGAAUUAGUUUUAACAAUAUACACCAAUACACCAAUAUGUAUGAGUACUAUAGAACUAUAAUUAUCAUAUAAAAUAUUAUAUACACGAAUAGGCAGGGAUCAUCGAAAUGUAUAUCAAACUUCGCUUAGCACAUGAGAAUUUAAGCUUUAAUGCGAUAUUGUUAUAUCGCUUCAAUGAUAUUAAUAUUGAGGCUGAAACCUGAAUGUAAUAACGCAAUAAAAUGAGUGCCUAUUUGUUAAGGAACCAACGAACGUGCACGCUUUUUGAGUUACGUUAAUCAUAAUUAUUACACCUAGUAUUAUAUGUGUAAUGUAAUAUUCGAUGAAUAAAUGAACACAUUUUUAUAUAAAAUUAAUUUACAAAUUUAUUUUACAUAUUGAGUGCACAUUCGUUACUUCCUCUGAUAUCUCUAGUUGCACUCGACAUAGCUCCUAGUAGCGUAAAGUGUACACGUAUACAUUCGAAUCAAUUUUAUAUACAAGGAAGGGGAACGUUUAUAGGUAAAUGUAGUCUCCGUCCAUUGUGAAGUUAUUAUACGUGACAAAUAAACCCCGUACAUGAUAAACUGUGUUUACGCAGUUUUAUCAAAAUUAUAUUAACAGCAAAAUCAAUUAGGAUUUCCAAUUUUACAGGCAACAUACGCGCGACGUGUAUUUUAGCACGAAAAACGUAAUAAUAAUUUAUUAACAAAAAUAUUUAAAAAAUACUCAGUAUAGUUUUACGUACUUCGCAGAAAAGGUGCUUGUAAAUAAAAUUCUUUGACGAAAGUUAUAUCAAGUUCAUCGAUAUAGCGUUUUUAUUCUUUAAAAACGACAGUAGCGACAUCGUUUUAGUUGCUAAACAACAAUGGCGUUAAAUUACAAGAUUAGUCAGUUUUAUAUCAUUACAUUAAUCGAAAUGAAUGAAAGGUUUUAUAGCUAUAAUUAGAGUAACGAUAAAAAAAUAUUGUUUUUAUAUAAUAAUAUGUUAUGCUCAGAUAUCAUAUCUCGACGACGCCUAUACGCGUAUACGUACUCGAUAUAUUAGCACUAGAGUUGGAAUUGUCGGAAGCGUAUUUUAUACAAAGUAUAAUUUUAUUUCAUUAGAAAUAAGAAAGCUGUAAUAAUAAAAAAAAUCGAACAAAUCGAAAUUUACUGUAGUGAGAACUCAUUAAGUGCACUUCAUUGUAAGGCAGUUAUUAGAAAUUUUAAUAAAUUGAAUAAUGUUAGAACGAUAAAUUAGGCGAGAGUGAAACUAGAAGCACGCGCGUAGGUAUUAUCAGAGUGAGGGUUUUAUGCAAUAACUAUUAACGUACGUACACAGGUUAUUAAAUAUAUUUAAUGUAAAAGCUUAAUUCGUGGUAUCUUUGGUAGGAAUUAGUUCAAUGUAUUAUUUAUUUACUAUUAUUAAUGUGGUAAAAUUUGUAAAAUAUUUUAUUUGAUUUUUGUUAAAAAGUAACUCAUGAUAUUUUUUCAAUCUCAUCUGAAACAAUUUGUGUAUUUUUUUUUACUGUUACUCCAAUUGUUUAUUAAAGUUUUUAUCAAAAAGUUUUUCAUAUUAACAACUUAUCUAUUAUGUUUAUUAGCUACUUGAAAAUAAUUGUUAAGUAUACAUAAUUUUAUUUAAAAUGUUCGGUACUUUAUGAACAAUUUUUAUGUGUGUGUAUUUUUAUAGUUUUAAAAAUGACAAACGUUUUUAGUUUGCAUAUACGUUCUUUUACAAGUAAUGAUUUUAUUCGUAUGACACUUUGCCGAACAUAUUAUAUAAAUUUUAAGUAAACACAAAUCUUUAUUUACAAUAAAUACUACGAGCUUUAAGUAGCGUAUCGAUUAAACGCUAAUUCAGGAUUUUGACUGGUUAAAUAACAACUAAUAUAUAUUGUAUAAUAUAAGUUGCAUUGUAUAUCAUCGUAGCAAUUAUUACACGUAUAAAUUGCUGCGAUAAUAUAUAAUGAUUUAAUUGCUUAAAUUGUAAACCUAAGUCAAUAUAAACCAUCAAUUACUAAUUAAGAAACAUGCUUCCUGAUAGAUCUGACAAUAUAAAUAUUCUGUUAUGCCUUAACGAAAUAUUGGUAGUGAUAUAGUUAAUAUAUGCAUGCUAGUGAGUAUAGGGACAUUGUAUUAACAUGACAUUAUUUGUAACAAUAUUGGCCCUGUCUCAUAAAAAUCACAAUUUCAUGAGACGUUUCAAACGCACAAAUUGUAAUAGUAUAUACAUAAUUAUGUAUAUUAUAAAAUAUGUCUUAUUAAUUGAUAUCUUAUUAAAUUUUAAAGUUAGAACAUUCUAAGUGGUAAUCUUUUUUUUUUAAAUUAGUAGUCACGUUUUAUUAUAAUCAAAAUGGCUGCUAGAAACCUUUUUGUAUCUACUGAAGUAGGGCACAGCAGGAAAUUCCCUGCUCAAAAUAUGGAGAAGCUCAACUGGAGUGGUGCCUCGACCUUACAGAAGAUAAAUAAUACUGUUUUCAAUCAUUGUUUCAAUUAGUGUUGUUUUCCUGUUGGUGAGUAAGGUAACCAGAGCUCCUGGGGGGAAUAGGGGAUGGGAUAAGCAACGCGCUUGCGAUGCUUCUGGAGUUGCAAGUCUAUAAGCUACGAUAAUCGCUUACCAUCGGGUGAGCCGUAUUAUGAUAGCUUAUUUGCCGGCCUAGUUAUAUCAAAAAAAUAGCACUGAAAAUUUGAAUUUAAAAAGUAUACAUUAUAAUUUAUAUAAGUGUAUCCUUUAGUUUAUUUUAAAGAAAUGUUACAAAUAAAAUGUGCAAUAACAAUACGCACAACAAUGAAAAAUGGAUUUAAAAUUU